rnacentral:rRNA from 1 species
UUCCGGUUGAUCCUGCCGGAGGCCACUGCUAUUGGGAUCCGACUAAGCCAUGCGAGUCGAGAGGGUUCGGCCCUCGGCAGACUGCUCAGUAACACGUGGAUAACCUAACCUUAGGUGGAAGAUAACCUCGGGAAACUGAGAAUAAUAUUCCAUAGAUCUAGGAUGCUGGAAUGCAUCUAGAUUGAAAGUUCCGACGCCUAAGGAUGGGUCUGCGGACUAUCAGGUUGUAGUCAGGGUAAAGACCUGACUAGCCUACGACGGAUAUGGGUUGUGAGAGCAAUAGCCCAGAGACGAUAUCUGAGACACGAUAUCGGGCCCUACGGGGCGCAGCAGGCGCGAAAUCUUCACAAUGUGCGAAAGCACGAUGAGGGGAUCCCAAGUGCUGGCACGUAAGUGUCAGCUGUUUCUUAGUCUAAAAAACUGAGAGAGUAAGGGCUGGGUAAGACGGGUGCCAGCCGCCGCGGUAAUACCUGCAGCUCAAGUGGUGGCCGCUAUUAUUGGGCCUAAAACGUCCGUAGCCUGUUUAGUAAAUGCUUGGGUAAAUUGUGUAGCUUAACUAUACGAAUACCGGGUAGACUGCUAAACUUGGGACCGGGAGAGGCUAGAGGUACUCCUGGGGUAGAGGUGAAAUUCUGUAAUCCUAGGGGGACCACCAGUGGCGAAGGCGUCUAGCUAGAACGGGUCUGACGGUGAGGGACGAAGCCCUGGGGCGCAAACCGGAUUAGAUACCCGGGUAGUCCAGGGUGUAAACGCUGCUUGCUUGAUGUUAGUUGGGCUCCGAGCCCAACUAGUGUCGGAGAGAAGUUGUUAAGCAAGCUGCCUGGGAAGUACGGUCGCAAGACUGAAACUUAAAGGAAUUGGCGGGGGAGCACAGCAACGGGUGGAGCGUGCGGGUUUAAUUGGACUCAACGCCGGA